CCAACCCCACUUACACCCCCCAACCCCAUUACACCCCAUUUACCCCCAUUACCCACCGUCACAAACACCACAUUAUGCGGGAAGUCAGCGGCCCCAGGCCCAUCGGGGGGCAGCACAGGGGCAGCAAUGGGGCCGCGGCUGGCGAGCAGCGCUGCGGGGAACCCCUUCCUGCCCCCUCCGGUUGUAGGUCCUCCACCUCCGGUUGUAGCUCCGGUUGUAGCUCCGCUUGUCGCCCCAUUCCUCAGCUCCUCGGACAUAUAAUGCCGUAUAUUCUGCCUCGCCGACCGGAUCAGGGCCCCGUCAAUGUCCAGCCCUACAACCCGAGCCGGUCCCCAGCGCUUGGCGAUGCUGAGCGUCAGGUGCCCCACGUUACACCCCACAUCCAACACCUCCUUGCCCGUGAACCACUCGGGCCGCAUGGCUCGGAGCCUCCCGUCCUCACAGUCGGGGUUCCGGUACCCGUAGUACUUGCUGUAGUUGCCGUAUUGGAAGCGCUGCGCCUGUCUCCGGACCGGGGGGGGCGGACGAGGCCCCUCCGAUUUGCUGCAAGUCCGUCGGCGUUUACGGUGUCUACCGGUAGCGGAACCGGUAGCGGAACCGGUACCGGGACAGGCGGAGGACGAUGGGGGUGCGGUGGUUGUAGGGGGGUGUGCGGGCAGGAGGUGUCAUUGAAGCCGGUUGUGGUGUUGUCGUCGGUUGCGUUGUUGUUACCGGUUCCUCCGUUACCGGUUCCUCCGUUACCGGUUGUGUUAUUACCGGCUCCGCUGUUGUUAUUAUCGGUCGCGUUGUUACCGGUUGCUCUGCUCUUACCGGCUCCUCCGUUACCGGUCGCGCUGUUACUACCGGUUGCCUUGUUACCGGUCGCUCUGCUCCUACCGGUCCUGCUGUUGUUCCCGGUCGCGUUGUUACCGAUCCCACUGUUACUACCGGUCCCGCUGUUACCGGUCGCGUUAUUACCGGUCUCCCCGUUGCUACCGGUUGUAUUACCGGUUGUGUUACCGGUUGUAUUACCGGUCGUAUGGUUCCGUUGCUGCCCCCGAUGCCGAUGCCUCCUCCUCGAUGCCUUCACCAACCGGAGCCCGUCCCCGGGCGCAUUGAGGCUCAGGGGGUCGGUGAUGUCCCUGGGCACCAGGAUCUCCACCGGGUCCCGUCCUCGGGCCGGUAACGGGGAACUCUGCGGGGUCCUCGCGUUCAGCGCCCGACUCACGUCCUCGUCCAGGAGACUAUUGAGGUUCAACGGGUCGAAGAUGUUGCCCCCGAGCAGGAACUCGGACGGGAGCACCGGACAACACUCGGGGCCCGGCGGCCGCCGCCGCCGCUUCCAGGCCGGGCCCUUAGCACCGGAGCUGCUC
rnacentral:lncRNA from 14 species